UACGGAGGGGGCUAGCGUUGUUCGGAAUUACUGGGCGUAAAGCGCGUGUAGGCGGCAACGCAAGUCGGGCGUGAAAUCCCACGGCUCAACCGUGGAAGUGCACUCGAAACUGCGUAGCUAGAGUCCUGGAGAGGAAGGUGGAAUGCUUGGUGUAGAGGUGAAAUUCGUAGAUAUCAAGCGGAACACCGGUGGCGAAGGCGGCCUUCUGGACAGUGACGUGACGCUGAGACGGCGAAAGCGUGGGGAGCCAAACAGG
rnacentral:rRNA from 1 species